rnacentral:rRNA from 1 species
CAGAGGGUGCGAGCGUUAAUCGGAAUUACUGGGCGUAAAGCGUGCGUAGACGGUUAUUUAAGCCGGGUGUGAAAGCCCCGGGCUCAACCUGGGAAUUGCAUUCGAGACUGAAUAGCUAGGGUACGGUAGAGGGAAGUGGAAUUUCCGGUGUAGCGGUGAAAUGCGUAGAUAUCGGAAGGAACAUCAGUGGCGAAAGCGACUUCCUGGACCAGUACCGACGUUCAGGCACGAAAGCGUGGGGAGCAAACAGGAUUAGAUACCCUGGUAGUCCACGCCAUAAACGAUGAGGACUAGACGUUGGAGGGGUAAGCCUUUCAGUGUCGUAGCUAACGCGCUAAGUCCUCCGCCUGGGGAGUACGGCCGCAAGGUUG